UACGUAGGGUGCGAGCGUUAAUCGGAAUUACUGGGCGUAAAGCGUGCGCAGGCGGCGCGUUAAGACAGGUGUGAAAGCCCCGAGCUUAACUUGGGAAUUGCGCUUGUGACUGGCGGGCUGGAGUGUGGCAGAGGGAGGUGGACUUCCACGUGUAGCAGUGAAAUGCGUAGAGAUGUGGAGGAACACCGAUGGCGAAGGCAGCCUCCUGGGCCAGCACUGACGCUCAUGCACGAAAGCGUGGGGAGCAAACAGG
rnacentral:rRNA from 1 species